rnacentral:rRNA from 1 species
CAGUAGCCACGGUAAUACGUAGGUGGCAAACGUUGUCCGGAAUUAUUGGGCGUAAAGGGCUCGCAGGCGGCUUCUUAAGUCUGAUGUGAAAGCCCCCGGCUCAACCGGGGAGGGUCAUUGGAAACUGGGAAACUUGAGUGCAGAAGAGGAGAGUGGAAUUCCACGUGUAGCGGUGAAAUGCGUAGAGAUGUGGAGGAACACCAGUGGCGAAGGCGACUCUCUGGUCUGUAACUGACGCUCAUGCACGAAAGCGUGGGGAGCAAACAGGAUUAGAUACCCCAGUAGUCCCUGUCUCUUAUAC